ACGAGCUGGAGGAGGGGAGCCAAGCUGGAGUUGACGCCAGGGACAGACUGUCAGAGAAGAGUAGCCCAGGCUGUUGGGCAAUCUGAGCCAUGGAUUUCCCCCAGCACGGCCAGCACGUCCUGGAGCAGCUGAACCAGCAGCGGCAGCUGGGGCUCCUGUGUGACUGCACCUUCGUGGUGGACGGGGUGGACUUUAAGGCCCACAAAGCCGUGCUGGCCGCCUGCAGCGAGUACUUCAAGAUGCUCUUCGUGGACCAGAAGGAUGUGGUGCACCUGGACAUUAGUAACGCGGCAGGCCUGGGCCAGGUGUUGGAAUUCAUGUACACGGCCAAGCUGAGCCUGAGCCCUGAGAAUGUGGACGAUGUGCUGGCUGUAGCCAGCUUCCUCCAGAUGCAGGACAUCAUCACGGCCUGCCACACCCUCAAGUCACUCGCUGAGCCAGCUAUCAGCCCUGGGGACAACAUAGAGGCCUUGGCUGCGGGAGGAGGGGACAAGAAAGCCAAGGAGAAAGCUGCCGUCCCCAUGCCGAGCGAGCCGGACCUGAUGGGGGGCAGUCUGUCGGUUGGUCCAGGCAGGGAGCCCAAGGAGGAGCGAGGUGGCCAGGCUGAGAGGGAGGCCAGCGGGGCAGAGCAGACUGAGAAGGCCGAUGCCCCCCGGGAGCCACCACCCGUGGAGCUCAAGCCGGACCCCACCAGUGGCAUGGCUGCUGCUGAGGCCGAGGCCGCCUUGUCCGAGUGCUCAGAGCAAGAGGUGGAGGUGGAGCCAGCAAAGAAAGGAGAAGGUGAGCCCCUGGCCCGCAGCCCGCCGGCCUCUGUCAAGGAGGAGGGGCCCCGGCUGGAAAACGGAGAGGACCACGAGUCGACCGCCACAGACUCUGGCCAGGAGCUGGGCGUGGAGGCCCGGAGCCUGCGCUCAGGCACAUACGGCGACCGCACCGAGUCCAAGACGUACGGCUCAGUCAUCCACAAGUGCGAGGACUGCGGGAAGGAGUUCACACACACGGGCAACUUCAAGCGGCACAUCCGCAUCCACACAGGCGAGAAGCCCUUCUCCUGCCAGGAGUGCAGCAAGGCCUUCUCUGACCCGGCCGCCUGCAAGGCCCACGAGAAGACGCACAGCCCUUUGAAGCCCUACGGCUGUGAGGAGUGCGGCAAGAGCUACCGGCUGAUCAGCCUGCUGAACCUGCACAAGAAGCGGCACUCGGGGGAAGCGCGCUACCGCUGCGAGGACUGCGGCAAGCUCUUCACCACCUCCGGCAACCUCAAGCGCCACCAGCUGGUGCACAGCGGCGAGAAGCCCUACCAGUGCGACUACUGCGGCCGCUCCUUCUCCGACCCCACCUCCAAGAUGCGCCACCUGGAGACACACGACACGGACAAGGAGCACAAGUGCCCACACUGCGACAAGAAGUUCAACCAGGUGGGGAAUCUGAAGGCCCACCUGAAGAUCCACAUCGCGGACGGGCCCCUCAAGUGCCGGGAGUGUGGGAAGCAAUUCACCACCUCAGGGAACCUCAAGCGGCAUCUCCGGAUCCACAGCGGGGAGAAGCCUUACGUGUGCGUCCACUGCCAGCGGCAGUUCGCAGACCCGGGCGCUCUGCAGCGCCACGUCCGCAUCCACACGGGCGAGAAGCCGUGCCAGUGCGUGAUAUGCGGCAAGGCUUUCACCCAGGCCAGCUCCCUCAUCGCCCACGUGCGCCAGCACACUGGCGAGAAGCCCUACGUCUGCGAGCGCUGCGGCAAGAGAUUCGUCCAGUCCAGCCAACUGGCCAACCACAUCCGCCACCACGACAACAUCCGCCCCCACAAGUGCAGCGUGUGCAGCAAGGCCUUCGUCAACGUGGGGGACCUAUCCAAGCACAUCAUCAUCCACACCGGAGAGAAGCCUUACCUUUGUGACAAGUGUGGCCGUGGCUUCAACCGGGUGGACAACCUGCGCUCCCACGUGAAGACGGUGCACCAGGGCAAGGCAGGCAUCAAGAUCCUGGAGCCAGAGGACGGUGGCGAGGUCAGCGUGGUCACGGUUGACGACAUGGUCACGCUGGCCACCGAGGCCCUAGCUGCAACGGCUGUCACUCAGCUCACAGUGGUUCCGGUGGGGGCUGCAGUGACAGCUGAUGAGACAGAAGCCCUUAAAGCCGAGAUCACCAAAGCGGUGAAGCAAGUUCAGGAAGCAGACCCCAACACCCAGAUCCUCUACGCCUGCGACUCCUGUGGGGAAAAGUUCCUUGACGCCAACAGCCUGGCCCAGCACGUUCGGAUCCACACAGCCCAGGCCCUGGUCAUGUUCCAGGCUGACACGGACUUCUACCAGCAGUAUGGGCCAGGAGGCACGUGGCCAGCCGGGCAGGUGCUACAGGCUGGGGAGUUGCUCUUCCGCCCCCGAGAUGGGGCCGAGGGCCUGCCUGCUCUAACAGAGACCCCACCCACAGCCCCCGAAUGCCCACCGCCAGCUGAGUGAGCAGGCGCCCCACCUUCGGACUGUUUAUUUAAAGAUGGACGGCACCCCAGAACUGUCACCCCCAGCAGCUGGUAGCCCCUCUUCCUACAUCAGAAGCGUGUCGAUUAUCAGGAGCCCCACUUGAUACCAUGAGGGCCUUCUCGGUACUUACUGCCUGCCUCCCUAGCCUCGUGGGGCUCUAGCUGAGGAAGGCCUUUCCUUACCCCCCUCCUGAGUCCCGUCCAGACACAGAGCAGGACACCUGCAAGCCACUGGCAGGCCAGGCUCUGCCCCCUGCUCUGGACAGAGAGGGGAAUCCAGAGCUUGCGUGUCGCGUUGUGUGGAGAUUUCUGUAUCAAAUCUGAAGUGCCUUCUUCAAUGUCAGCUAAGAGCCAAUCGCGAUCUUGGAAGUUUGACAGAUCCUGUACACAACAUGGGAAACCCGUAGUCGCAGCAGCCGUCAUCAGGAAGCAGGGAGGUGAGGACCCUUGGUCCUCCUACCCAAGUGACAAUCACAUUCACACUUGAUGUGUUUUGUAUUUUUUAAUAAAGUUUGUAAUCCAAUGGACACACAAAACAAAACUGCGCUGAGAAAAACAGUUUCAUAAAUUAAUAAGUGUUAGGGAGUUGGGGGAGCUCCAGGUAGGGUGAGACCAGCCAGUCUUUAUACAGGUGCUGUGUGACACUUCACGUCGCAGGGCAGGCCGUGCUGUAACGAAGCGCACUUAUACAAAUGAGUGACGAUACAAAGUCUGAGUAUGAAAAUAAGAUUCUCUCUGAAAACACAUUUUUGGCACAGAUUAAAAAAAAUGUAUGUGAGGGGAAAUUUUGAUUUUUUUAAGUCAGUAUUAUAUAUAUAUUUAUAUAU